UAUACACAUUCAGUCCUCCAUUUCUGUAGAAAAAAAAAAUCCUUUUGUCCAUUUCUCUCUGCUCAUAUCACAAAAUUUCUUCAAAUCUUCCAAUUCUCUAUGCUCGUUCCAUAAAAUGUGAGCCACAUUUUGGAAACCCAAAAACUCUAACAAGAAAUUGUGACUCCAUCAGGAAUUUGAGUUAUCUGAAGUUGAAGAAGGAAGGGAGAGAGUUCAAAGUCUGAAUAUUCACUGUAAGGUUAACCUGUUUGAAGGUUUGAAGCUUGAAAUCACUUUGAGGGAAAUGAAAGGAAUUGGACGAGGUAAAAGUGUGAGAGGCGGGACGAGCCGUGGACAUGGCAAUUUUCGAGGACAUGGAAGUUCAGGAACGAUGUCUCAACUACAAAUACAACCAACAGAGAUUAACGAGGCAUCUUUGGAGAUAGGACAAUCAAGUAACCCAACUUAAGGACCUAUACAGACCGAACAAACAUCAAGUAGCCCUCUCCAAAGAACAUCUCUAGAGACACAAUCAUCAAGGAAUCUAGAAGAAAGUGUACUUCCCUCUCCAUAGGCUUCAAAUGGUGUAGAGAGAUCCAAUAUCUUCUGCAAUGGAAAUUAUGCGGCAAGAGAUGCAAGCCGAUAUGGAUCGAAAGUUGCAAGAAGAACUUAACCGGAAGUUGCAAGAAGAACAUGAACAAAUGGCUAUCGACUUAAAAAAGGAUAUGGAACAAGAUUUGCAAAACAAAUUGAAAGAGGAGCGUGCACACAUGAAAGGAGAAUUUGACAAGAUGUUCCAAGAACAAAUAGCUGCUUUCAUGACUAGAAUGCAACAGGGACGAGGUUCUUAAACAAUGGAGCAAACCAAAGAAAAGUUUGAAGGCGUGCAAUAGAAGUUUUUGGUCAUAUAUAAUAUGCAUAAAAUGAAAGUUUUUAUGUAAUAUGCAUACAAUGGAAGUGUUUGAUGAUAUGUAAUAUAUAUACGUUGGAAGUUUUUGCUUUUUUGGGUCAUAUGUAUAUGCAUAUAAUAAACCGUAGUACUAUGUCCAUAGUAUUUCUGUAGUUGACUUUUAAGUAAUGAAAGUAUUUAUGAUAUUCAGCUUGGAA